UGGGGAAUCUUGGACAAUGGGGGCAACCCUGAUCCAGCCAUGCCGCGUGAGUGAUGAAGGCCUUAGGGUCGUAAAGCUCUUUCGCCUGUGAAGAUAAUGACGGUAGCAGGUAAAGAAACCCCGGCUAACUCCGUGCCAGCAGCCGCGGUAAUACGGAGGGGGUUAGCGUUGUUCGGAAUUACUGGGCGUAAAGCGCACGUAGGCGGACCAGAAAGUUGGGGGUGAAAUCCCGAGGCUCAACCCCGGAACUGCCUCCAAAACUAUUGGUCUAGAGUUCGAGAGAGGUGAGUGGAAUUCCAAGUGUAGAGGUGAAAUUCGUAGAUAUUUGGAGGAACACCAGUGGCGAAGGCGGCUCACUGGCUCGAUACUGACGCUGAGGUGCGAAAGUGUGGGGAGCAAACAGGAUUAGAUACCCUGGUAGUCCACACCGUAAACGAUGAAUGCCAGUCGUCGGGUAGCAUGCUAUUCGGUGACACACCUAACGGAUUAAGCAUUCCGCCUGGGGAGUACGGUCGCAGAUU
rnacentral:rRNA from 1 species